rnacentral:rRNA from 1 species
GAGACUGCCGGUGGUCAAACCCGGAGGAAGGUGGGGAUGACGUCAAGUCCUCAUGGCCUUUAUGACCAGGGCUACACACGUACUACAAUGGCAGGUACAAAGGGCAGCCACUUAGCGAUAAGGCGCGAAUCCCAUAAAACCUGUCUCAGUCCGGAUUGGAGUCUGCAACUCGACUCCAUGAAGUUGGAAUCGCUAGUAAUCGCAGAUCAGCACGCUGCGGUGAAUACGUUCCCGGGCCUU